ACAGGAUAAGGGCUCUCCCAGCCCAUCCCUGCUCCCAUCGGCCGGAGCUGUGCCCGGGGCUGCAGGGACCGGACCCGGAGCCGGGGCUGUGUCAGCUCCGCCCGGACCGCGGGGCGGCGGCGGAGCCACGAACCCGCCUGGGGAGCGCCGGCUCUGGAGGUAACCUGGAAAUAAAUAACUGCGCUCGUAGGAGCUUAGGGCUUACACGCUUGACUAAAUGGGAAAAACCUUGGUUUCUUUCUUUGCGAUGUUGCAGGCGCUGCAGGAGAGCUCAAACUCACAGCAGCUCCCGCUCAGGGAAGGAGCAGCUGCUGCCGGGAGAGGCUCAGCUGCAAAAGGCAUCUUUGUGUUCAUAGCGCUACUCAUGUUUCCUUCACAGCUUUGCCAAAUGCAACAAGCUUAAAGAAUGGUUGUUCAAUGAGAAGAAACGAGUUCGGCCGGCUACAAGUCCUUCCUGUGUUACCUCAAGUCCCACCUUAGGUGGAGUCAGCCUCAAAGUAAAGGGAUUUACUUUGCUGCUGGGAUGCAGAGGGAAGGCUGCUGAAUAGCUGUGAACUUUACAGUGCCAAACACAGGUCUGGCCAAGGCCCAGCAGCUGGCUGCACAUCUGGCAGUUCUCCUACAGCCAGUGCCGCGGUCUUGAAUUUCUGUUUCUGGCUCUAUUUCUUGUGUCCAGUACAAGAGGAAAGUUUUGAAAGGAAAACUGAUAGAUCUGCCUGCAUGCCUGGCACUGAGACCUGCAAGAGAAGUUGUGUGGCUCUGCGGAGCUCUGCAAGUCCUCACUGCAGCCACGAUCCACCUCCCCUGGAUCCUCCCCUCUCCCUGUUCCCGUCAGCUCUCUCUGGGAGGGGCCCCCACACCUCCUGAAGGUACAGAAGCUUCUCCUGUGCCCUCGAGGCCAAUCCCCUCUGCUGCCCGAGCCACAACCUGCAAUCUGGAGUGCAGAAAUGGCCACUGUGGCCACUCUAGUCGUGCCUCCAGUGGCUGACAGGGACUGUGAUGCUUUGCUUUACUCUGGUGCUUUGUCUGAAUUUUGUGUGCAGGAGCAGGGACUGGGCUGUGUCUGCUGUGCUCUGUUGUCUGUUUGCUUUCCCUGAAGCCUUCCUAGAGGAAUUAUUUGUUAAACAAAUUGAAUGUGUUGGGAAUAACACACAAUGGUUCAUAAUUCUCUGUCAUGUACCACUGAGUCCAGUGGGGAUUUCUGCUACAUCACUAGCGCAGUGCUGGGGCUGAAGACAGCACUCUGGGAGGUGCUGCAGCUGCUGAAGACAUGACCAUAUUCAUUGACAAGCAGAAUUAAUUUGUUGGGUUUUGUUUGCAGGGAUUUUACCAGAGUAAAAUCCCACUUAUUUUCCGUUUCAGUGCCAUGAAAAGUGUAUUGAUUUUUCUUCACUUCUGAUUGUUCACAUUACUGGAUUGCUUUUAAAUAGUUGACAGAGAUCAUUCAUUUUCCAGCUCCAACAUAUUUUACAGCCUGCUCCCUGUUUUAUUUGUGUGCUCUGGGGGAGUUGCACAGUCAUUCAUCACUCUGGUCACCUUCUGCAAGCGGCAGCCCCGGCAGCAGGGAGGAAACUCUUCCCCCGCGGGGUUUUUGCUCCUCCUGCCUUCUCCCUGGCAGCUUCUGCACCUGUUCCACCUUAGAGGUGGAGCUGAGGCUCAAAACCUCUCCAAGCCAAAGAGCAGAGCAGGCCAAAGCAAUAAGGAGGCCGCAGAAGGAUGAGAGGUGCUGGCUGGUGAGAGGGCAUUAAGGGCUGUCCUGGUGUUGGUGAGCGAGGAUGAUGAGCUGAGCAGGGAGGGGCAGCAUCCUUCAGCCCACACACAGAGAAUGAGGGAGCUCUGGGCAUCCCUUCAGUGCGGAGCCCGCGGGCUUUGGAAUUCUGCCCCAGCCCAGCUCCACCCUUCCCCUGAGCUGCGCCGCCUCUCGGGCCGAGCCCUGUGGGAACAGGGAUUGUCCCUGUUUGCUGGCACAGUCCCUAAAGCAGUGGGGCCCUGAUUUCACAGAGGCCUCAGGCGGCAGGGAGACAGUGCUAAUAAUGAGAAUUAAUUAUUCAUUUAUCACUUCACUCUCAGUGAGUAAUCUCCAAUAAUCAUGUAUAAUUUGCUGCUUCAGUGAAUACUUUGAUACUAAACAGAGCUGGUAGAAUAAAGUCACAGAAGUGAAAACCCCAUGUAAAAGAAGUGAGAAAAUGGUCAAGACUAAAAAAAUGAUCUAAGAAAUAUUUGUGCAUAAUCAUUUGCCCAGAUCUAGUUGUGUCCUGGAUAAACACAUGGAAGGCAGAUAGAGACAUAGAUUGCUCAAUCUCUUCCCCAGCUCUUGUUAGAGUCAGAGAUCACAGUGUGACCCCAAACAGAAGCCUAGGUUCUGUGUCCAGAGGAUAGUCCAGGAGAUCAUUUUGCCUUCUUUAACCUCCUUCUGGGAUGAAGGAAGUGCAGCAAGGGAAAGCUGCUUGGCACUGAAGCAAUUAAGUGGGGAAUUAAGUAUUCAGCAGGCCUAAAUGAUUGGGACAUCCAGAGCGCAGGUCUGCCCUGGGGAGUCAGGGAAAGCUCCUCCAGUGCUGCUCAGGGUGAGUUUGCACGGUUUGUGAUCGUUCAAUGACUUUGAUUUUCCCCUCUGCCUUUUCCCUUCCCAUGGCUACUGAGUGCUUGGCCACAGGGCUGUGCUCACCCACACCAGGGGCAUUUAUUGCAAAGCUGUUUGUGACAAAGGCAGAUCCCAGCUGUGCUGGGCCGUGGUGUUGUUAUGGGAAACUGCUGAAAUACUGUCUGUUCCCACAUGGAAAUCUCUCUCAGAAGCAGAUUGCACGGUUGUAUUUUACACUGUGGUGCCUGCUCACAUUAUCCCUCGCUGACGUACAGUGAUGAUGCACAUGUUGGAUCCACAAUGCUGAGAGAAUUAACGCUUUGGAAGUGUUUACCUCCCCCAUUAUGGAUGUUCUGCCAGUAGCAGUGUGCUCAUAUUCUCUGCACAGAAAUUAAAGGCACUGAUAAAAAUCACUGAGCUUCUCUUCUCAUCUAAAUCUCCAGGUUACGCAGCAGUGGCUGCAUUGGGCAGCAUCUCUCCUCACACCCUGGGAGUGCUGGGCGGCUCAGCCAUGCUGGUAAACAACUUUAUGAUAAUGCAGAUUAUGCAAAUGUACCAGUUUUCCUAUCAUUUCUUGUGCUGCCUAUGGGAGCAAGUAUUUUCUGGUGUGUGAGCUGGCUGCAGCAUUCAACCUGCUGCCUUUUUUAAAAAAUGCUUUAUAGGAGCAGAACUGUCUUCAGAGGUUCUCUCGCCUGAUACCUGAACUAGUGGCUGUGAACACGACGUGCACCGUGUGAAGCCAAAUAACCCUCCAGGAAUUCUUUCUAUUAAAAUAAUUGCUAGGGCAGGGGAAUACUGCAAACAGCUGUGGUUCAUCCCAUAAACAUAUUCUGCCUCCUUUGGAACCUCAGCCUCCAACUGAUGCCAGAGCCUGUCAGCUGCAGGAGCAGUGGAACAUAUUUCCUUUGCAGAAAUGAAACGAUUACUGAUGAAUAAAUCUGUUGUGCACAGACCUGAACUCCCCAGUGCGUGCUGCAUAUGCAAAAGGGAAAAGUGGCAGUGUUUCACCCUGGAAGGAGCUGGAGCGACAAUUCAUCUGCUGAAGGCGCUGGCUGUGGAGCUGCCUUGUGUCACUGAGCGUGAGGAAAAAUCCCCCACGUCAGUCCAGCAGUGAAUGGCAUCACCUUGCCAUGCAGGGCCCUUGCUCUGGCAGGGAAGCAGCUGUCCCAUGUCAUGGAUGGGCUGAGAGCAGGCUCCCUGCAGGCCCAGCAUCCUCCUUUGGCAGUCUGGUGGCCAAGGGCUGAGCUGGGGAGGACAGGAGGGCCCUGGGACCAGAGGGGCCGGGGGUCCCUGGGCUGGGGCAAUGGGUGCUUCCAGGCUGAUUGCUGCUACAGAAACCCAGGCAAGAGCUGAGCCCCUGGCUGCACUGAUCCCACGAGGUGAUGCCUGGAGUGGAGGGGGAGAUGGGAUGGACCAGAGAAAACCCUGCUCCGCAUCUGUGAGGGGACAGGAAGCAGAAAUCUCAGAGGUCACUGAGACCUGUACGUGCCCGGUUUCACGGGCUCCGCGUUGUCUGGCAAAGCCAAACCCUCUGGCAGGCCCGUUUAUUUCUGUCAGUCCCGUCUGAGUGCAGGAGGUGGGCAGGGGACACGGGCACUGAUGGCCCUGGUGUGCAGGCGAGCUGUCCCCAGCCCCUGUGCCACAGUUCCUGCAGGAGUGGGAGCAGCGCUCGCCCAGCCCCACCGCUGCCUGUCAGGCUGCUCAAACAGCCGGCACUGCACUGGCAAAUGUUGUUAAUCAAGAGCCACAGUUCAAGGCAUUUGACUGGCACAUCCAGUCAAGUGGCAGCAAACACGCUGUAAAACCACUGUGCUGAGGCCACCUUCCUAAUGAAGGCAAAGUGGGAGCAAUCAAUCAGGGCCGGCAGCCAGGCUGGCACCGCCUCUGCAAAUGCAAAUUGAACGAACAAUAAUGAGCGUUAUCUAAUUAGUGCACACAGCUGCAAUGUUACAGCCCUGUAUAGGACACACCUUGUUAAAUUUCAUGGUAUGUAUCCCAGAGUGUCUGAGAAAAUGAUGGAGGUUUGCCACGUGCACACCUUGUAGAGCACAGCCAGGUAGAAUCGUGGUGAUAAAUGCAUUAUUCUCAGCAGGUGCGCUCUGGAUUGAGCAGUGCCAGGAUGGCCACAGACUGGGAGUGGACCCUGCUGUGGAAGGGUCAGCCCUCAGUGAACUCCUCCUGCACUGCAGCUCCAGCACCUGCUCUUACACCAGGAGGAAGAACACCCGGGGCCAAAUUCUUCCAUGAGACACUUUUAUACAAAUCCAUGUCAGAAAUUUGGUGAAAGAAAUAUUUCAGGCAAUUCUUUCGCCUUUGUUGCUUUAAUGUUCAGCAAUAUCUGUUCUUCCUGUAAGAUCCCUGGUGACACUGCAGGGGAUGGUGGGAUGGUGUUUAAAUAUUGAUGUUUUAGCAGCUUAUGGUUUUAAUACAAUUUAAAUUAUGCACAUUUUUAUUGGUCUCAUAGGUUCAUCAGCAAUUAGUCUCCCCCAGCUGCACAGGAGGGUGUUCAGCAGCUCUGUAUUGAUUUCUGCCUCAGCCUCUGCGUUUUAGUGACUGGGUACGUCUUGGUGCCUUGGCAAGUCAGUGCAGCAGAACAAGGAGCGAUGCUGUGUGCUGCUGAAGGGAAACCUGGACUCUGAUGCAAAAGUUCCAAGGAUAACAGCACAGAAGGAGCCAUCAGGGGAAGGUUUGUCCUGGCUUGGCUGAAGAACCUGAUCCAGAGUUCAGGCAACUGACAUGCAGACUUCCAGGUAAUUCACCAGUGCAUUGGGGAAAAGGUUUUGCUGAUUUCAUGUUUACCUGGCAUAUAUUCCUACUCAACUGGGGACAUAUUUCCUGUUCUCGUAUCAACCCUCAAUAUUUGAUGUGACACCUUAGGAAUCCACCUACAGUUUGUUGCUCCUUUUGAUCAGACACUUCUCAAGGAAAUGGGAGGGAAGAGGAGAAAACCUGGGAGGAACCAGAGUGGGAAUCAGGGGGAGUAUAUUAGCAUUUGCUGAGCUGGGCGCAAGAAUCACUCAGGAAAUUAAAAGCAGAAUGAUAUUUUGGGGUGAUAAAACAUUAAAGUAUGAAACUUGCAUUUGACUCAGAUCCAGCCUCAAUUUUUCCUUUUUAAGCUGCAGUUUAGGAAAAGCUGAACACUUGCCAGUGACAAAUGCAGGCUCUGGACUCUUGCAAAAGGGAGAAAGAAUUAAAUUAUGUUAGUUGGUAAUGAAAAGACGUGAGAAAUGCAGAAAGAGGACAAAGGAAAAAGGUAACCAUGGAGGUGAAACAAAAAGGUGCAAGAGUUUCCUUACACCAUGUAUUAAUUAAGGCAAUGCAGUGAUUUUCAGGGCGACGCCAAGCUCACUCAAAGUCUGACCAAAGAGAUCAGGCAAGGUCCUGGGGCCUUUGGCACAGUGCAGGGUGGUGGUGGUGAUGUAUGCCAGUGCCCUGCUCUUGGAUGAAGCCUCAGCUUUCCAUUGGCACAGUUAUAAGCCUUUUGUUCUGUUAGGUUUUUGUUUGGCUGUUAUUAUUUUCCUAUGUUUGGAAAUACACCCAAAGAGGGUGUAAAGCCUGCUGCAAAGGCAGCAUUUAUUUGAUAAAUCAGAUACCCUAUAUGCAAUGUAACAUAAAAGCCUCAUGUUGUUGGUUUGUGCUGAUUUUCCUGUUUUCUGUGUGUGAAUGUGGUUCAAGAAACAGUGUCAGCUCUGCUUACACAAGCUGGGAGUGGCACCCAGCAUUCCCCAUGCCAAAGCUCUGUGGUCCCUGUCCUGCAGGGGCACCAUCCCUGCCCUGUUUGUUUUCAUUCAUCCAGCCUCUUGAGCAGAACGAUCCCCCGAGCAGGCAGUGAUUCAAUCACUGAUUUUCUCUCAUUCCUUUUCACAGCUGUUAUUGGAGGCACAGCUGUCACUACAUCCAUUCAGGGGAAAGAGAUGAUCAAAGAGGAAAAGACAGGAAAACACCAUUUAAGAAAUAAAUGCAAAGUUAUGAUGCCUCUGUUUGCCUGAGAAAGAGAGAUUUUUAUGCAGCUUUUGGCAUUUACAAAUCCUUUGUGAAAAGGUCACCCUGUAGUUGGAAUCUUAUUAAUACAGAAGAACGGCCCAGAAAAUGUCAUGUCUCUUUACCCUGGUAUUUGCCCGGGAAGGAGUGACUCAGCACGCAGGGCUGCUGUGGCAGGGGGCACAGCACGUGCGGGGCUGGCAGAGGUGGCAGUGCCACUGCUGCCCACGACCCUGGAGCAGCGGGUCCGUGUGUGCAACCCUGCAGCUCCCUGGCUGCAGAGGGCAGCCCAUCCACUGCCCACGGCAUGCAGCAUACACUACAUAACCCCCCAAAAAAGGCAAAAUGUAUAACUGUUCUAGAAACAUACACACAGAUUUUAUAGGGGUACGGGUAUAAUCACAUCCAGCAGGGCGUGGGGAUGGAGUUUUGGCAAAUAAAGGCUGUGAGGGCAGUGUGAGAUGCUGCAAGGGGAAGACAGAGUGCACAAUGAAUAAGACAUGAUAAAUGCAUUUCCUCUGGAAAAUCACCAAGAAAAAUUUGAAGUUUGUCUGUCAUCUGCAGUUUAUAUUUCAAUCUUUAAUCUACUGCUUUUAGUUAUGUUUGUGCUCACUUCCUUCAAGGGAAUUUUCGUUCUGUUUGCCUUAGUGGUGACUCAUGUUACCUUUAAUAUGUUUUGGCAGAACUGAGGUGUUUAUUUUAGCAGAGUAGUGGAAACAGUUGUGAGCGUGGUGGCGCUGGCUGCGGCUCCUGCCGUGUCACCGAGUGGGCAAUGCCCUGGCUCAGGCUGACCCGGUGAGCUCUGAGCACACAAUCAAUCACCACCACACCUCACCCUGCGCACAAUUUCUUCAUUUUUAAUAACUGGCACAGUGAAACAUUUUGCCACUUCUGACACGUCACAGACUGAUGCUGAAUGGAGCUGUCUCGUUCAGCAUCUUCUAACCCAUUACAGUGUUUUCAUUUUACUUUUCUCUUUACUGGAGCUGCAAGAGCUCAAGGUGGUGUUUAUAACAGAGAACAACUGUGAUACACCACCUCUGACUGGGGAACUUCUCAAUAUCAGCGCUUCUUUCAUUUUUAUUUCCCGUGGGAUUUAAGGUUGCUGCUGCCCUGUCCUGUGACCCAAACAUUGUUUUCCUCUCAGGACACAGAUCUAGCAUGAACGCUCAUGAAAGGACACACAUUGUCCCUUGGUUAUUCGUGCAUCACUGCUCACUCACAAGCUGACUGAAUUCUGCAAAGCUGUGGGCAGAAAGCCUCUGGUGCUCACCUCCACAUCCAGCAUCAUGCCAGUGAAAGAUUUUACAGGAAUGUAAUUGCAUUCCACGAUGAAAUAUCCCCAGUCUGGGUUUUCAGAACCACACCCAAUUCUUUAAGAGCAUUUCCCUUCCACUGCAGCUACACAGCCUGAGUACCACAUCACUCCUCCUUUACCCCUUUUCCCCCAGCCCACCCCAGGUGCCUCUCACCAUCACCUUCCUGGUCCUCAGGCUCUGCUGCUCACUGGGGAAUGGCUGUCACUGCCACUGCUGCUGCCACUCAUGAAAGCACAAAGGAAAAUUGACAGACAGCAAGCAAACCAAUGGCUUCUGAAUCCAGCUGCAGAGCCCCAAGUGAAGGUCACCCAGAGCUCUGUGUGGGAGCUGUUGGUGUUCAUAUUUGUAAAGCCUUUUGUGAGCACUGUAACGAUGAAUGGUGACGGCUCAUGUUGGUGUGCCUGUGUACACACACACACACACAGACCCCCCCACGUUGGAACACUAUGCCAAAGAAAUUAUGUUUCACAUAAUUUCUAGUGUCAUCUUUGAUUAAUUUGCGUUUAUUUUCUCAUUAUGACUCAUCCCUCAUUUCAAAGGUGUCCUUCCAACCAGAACAUGGGAAGAGGACCAAGAAGUGACAGGCAGCAAGGAAUAAUCUUAAGGCAAAGCCCAGGAAAGCCAUUCCCACUGCCACAUCUCUGGUUUAGCACUCCCACCCCACUUCCCACAGGCAGUUUCCUCUUUGGAGAACUUGUUUUCCCAGAGCUGAAUCAUCGUGUCCCAAGGGCCACAGAUUCCCCUGUCACCCUUAUCAGUCAAGGAACAAAGAAAUGCCUAAAUCAGUGAGAUUAGCCAUGGGUCAUUUGACAGCUACGCAGAGUCACAAUAUGCAGAAAUACAAACAGCCCAGUGCCAUUUAUGCACCUUGUCAGCCCCCCUGCCCCACUGUGAUGUGUCUGGGCCACUCUGUGUUGAUUGCCACAGCUCAGUGCUGAACGGGCUGCAGGACAUGUCCCCAGUGCUGUGACCCUUGCUCUCCCCCUGCCCAGGGUGGCCACCUCUGCCAUUGUGCAGUAAAUCACAGCUCCACUGGCCACAGUAUUGUUGGUGAAAUGGCUGGAGAACAUCAUAAACAGAACUCGUCUGGGGAGAUAUUUCAUCUCAAGCUUUGAUGGCGAGGUCAGCACUCCUCAAACACAUCUUCAGCUGCAGGUCAGCCCUCUCUGCACUCUAUUUUGAGAUCUCCAUACCCCAUUUGCUAACCCUGAAGCAGUCACAAGACCCUGUGGACUCCUGUCUCUCCCUAAAAUCCUGCCCAAACCUGCUGUCUCUGGAGGCACAAGUGGGUGCUAGAAAACGUGAGCUCACCUUUCUGCUCAUGUGUGAACUGUACAACACAGACACAGCUUGUUCUUUGCCUAAUACAGAAUUAAACGUUAUGCAACUCACUGAGUGAUAUGUUUUGUCCCACGAGAGAUUUGCUUCAGAAAUACAAAGACAGAAAAAUACUCAACUGUCAUUAUCAUGCCAGUUUUUAAUCAGCUGGGAAAUGCUGCUUCUUCCCCCAAAAGAGCAGGCUGGAUAGAAACAAUGUUCUACCUCUGCCUCCCCCAACACUGCUUCCUUUUCCCACAGAAAUUUUCCAUUUUAAUUAGAUUCCUUUAUUACCACCCUCUUUUCUAGCAUAUCUUUUCUUGCUGUUAAACUUUUUUCCCUCUACAUAUCUAUUUUUCAUUUUCUUCAAUUGCCAAGAGCUACAGCAUGUGUCCAUGUGCAUGUGCUGGGGGAAGGAGAAGAAAGAGAUAAGAAAGGAAUAAAAAGAGAGAAAAGAUGGGGAAAAUGAAUCUGAUAAUUGUUGGAAAGAAUUGUUGCCAGCAGCAAAAGUGCUGAAAAGCCACUUUCAUGAAACCAGAAAGUUUUCCUAUUUUGCCAGGAUGGAGGUGACACCCACAGGCCCUUCCCCACCCUGGCUGCACCCCAAAAGCGCAGGGGGCAGUGAAACCCUGAGUGCCUGUACAGCCUCUGCUCUGCCGUAAGGAUUCAUGCAGAGAACAAACCAAGCAGAAAUAAGCAACCUCUGGUUUCUAAGCCACUCCAGCUCACUGACAGCUCUGGCCCACCAUGCUGAGGAGGGGGAUGCCCAUGAGCAGUGUGGGGCUGCUGGCCCCAGAGCUGUGCUGUGCAAGUGCUGAUUUGUGUCUUUCCUUGAUGCACGUUAAAGCUUACAUUUGCAUUCCAACUCCAAUGAAAAAUUUAUGACUGUUAAACUUCUGUAUGUCAUAAUUAAACACAAACAAUAAUUUCCAAAUAACUGUUUACCAUGCUGCAUAUUCAAUUGUGCAAUCAAUCUCAGUGACUCUUUUUCCUUGCAGAGGAAGGGAGGCGGGCUGUACCCGCCACACGCGCUCGCACCCAGCCCGUGGAAGAUGAAGAGUCAAUCUGACAUUUCAGGAGAGAGCAGUUACCUGUGGAAUAAAUAGAUUGAAGCCCUGUCAUUCCCAAAUAGAUGCCACCUCCUCCUGCUAUUUGUUUGGAGGAAGCCUCCCAGAGAGAUGGAUGGGACAACUGCUGUUCAAACAUUAAUCUUAAUGCAGAGAGAGAGGGAAGCAGCUGCUUGCAGAGCUCUGCCAAGGGACCUGCAAGGAACGUGUGUGAGGUGGUCCCAGCCCUGCCCCAGGGAUGGCCCCACAGCCAGGACCUGCUCUGGGAGGGGACAGGGACCAAGUGACCAGCAGAGACCCCCCGUGCUUGUGACAAGCUCUAGCAACAAGCAGGCAAGGGGAUGAGCAGGGAAAGCUCCACUGAAAACCGGCAGAGGAAAAAGACCUUGGCCUGAGGGUAAGGUCCUGCCAGAGGCCCCGUCCCUGGGCAUUGCCACCCUUGCCAGCUCAGGUGGCUUUGCUGGCAGUGCCCAGGGCGGCCAGUGAGGACCAGGGCAGCUGUGGGAGCUGAGGAGGCAGCUCAUGCUGAGUCAGUGGCACUGUAAGCCAGGUACUGCUGGCAUUCAGAGCAGCCUCUUUCCUUUGUGGCAUAAAACCUGCACUGGUGACCUGUCAAUGGGUGCCAAUUGGUGGUGGCUUCACAGGGAACUGCAUUUGUCCUGGAAACAAGGAAAAUAAAAGAUAUAAUGGAGUUCAGUGGUGCAAUACAAAUAACAAUGUCCUUUUACAUUACUAACAACACACUCUACGCUGUCUGGCUCCCUGUUCUCCUGAGGACACCACUAAGAAGCUCUCUGUAAAUAGGAUGUCUCAGUCAAUGUGCUCUCCCAAAGACUGCAUUAAUCACCCUUUGUGAAUGCAGUCUCGGGGGCAAG